rnacentral:ncRNA from 1 species
AAGAGCCGUAUAAGUCGAGAGGCUUACGUGCGGUUCUGUGAGAGCCUGGAGGUGAAAUUCCUCCGGGCGACUCGAC